GGAAUUUUGGACAAUGGGCGCAAGCCUGAUCCAGCCAUGCCGCGUGAGUGAAGAAGGCCUUCGGGUUGUAAAGCUCUUUCGGCGGGGACGAAACGGUCCGGGCUAACACCCCGGACUAAUGCCGGUACCCGCAGAAGAAGCACCGGCUAACCACGUUCCAGCAGCCGCGGUAAAACGUAGGGUGCGGGCGUUGAUCGGAAUUACUGGGCGUAAAGCGUGCGCAGGCGGCUCCUUAAGUCAGAUGUGAAAGCCCCGAGCUUAACUUGGGAACUGCGCUUGAAACUGGGGAGCUAGAGUGUGGAAGAGGGGGGUGGAAUUCCAGGUGUAGCAGUGAAAUGCGUAGAGAUCUGGAGGAACACCGAUGGCGAAGGCAGCCCCCUGGGCUAACACUGACGCUCAUGCACGAAAGCGUGGGGAGCA
rnacentral:rRNA from 1 species